AUUGAACGCUGGCGGCAUGCCUUACACAUGCAAGUCGAACGGCAGCAUGGAGGAGCUUGCUCCUCUGAUGGCGAGUGGCGAACGGGUGAGUAAAGCAUCGGAACGUACCGUGUAGUGGGGGAUAACGUAGCGAAAGUUACGCUAAUACCGCAUACGCACUGAGGUGGAAAGCAGGGGAUCGCAAGACCUUGCGCUAUACGAGCGGCCGAUGUCAGAUUAGCUAGUUGGUAGGGUAAAGGCCUACCAAGGCGACGAUCUGUAGCGGGUCUGAGAGGAUGAUCCGCCACACUGGGACUGAGACACGGCCCAGACUCCUACGGGAGGCAGCAGUGGGGAAUUUUGGACAAUGGGGAAACCCUGAUCCAGCCAUGCCGCGUGAGUGAAGAAGGCCUUCGGUU
rnacentral:rRNA from 1 species